UACGUAGGGGGCAAGCGUUGUCCGGAAUUAUUGGGCGUAAAGCGCGCGCAGGCGGUUGUUUAAGUCUGGAGUUUAAGUUCGGGGCUCAACCCCGUAUCGCUCUGGAAACUGGGGAACUGGAGUGUAGGAGAGGAAAGUGGAAUUCCACGUGUAGCGGUGAAAUGCGUAGAGAUGUGGAGGAACACCAGUGGCGAAGGCGACUUUCUGGACAGAUACCGACGCUGAGGCACGAAAGCUAGGGGAGCAAACAGG
rnacentral:rRNA from 1 species